UUUUUUUGAUUUUCCCUCUUAAUCACUCCCAAAUUGCAAUAGUGACCUAAUUUCUGGUGACCUAAGACGUCUGAACUAGAUGAGUAGUUCAAUCGCUGGAGGUGGAAGGGAAGAUCUAGUUUCUUAGGAUGGACAGAAGGGUUUCGCGUAGUUCAAUCGCAAUUUCAACCCACCUUCAAUCCUAGGCAAUCACAUCAUCUGGAACAAAGAAAGGUGAAUUUUUUCUUGCUGAUGUCAAUACACAAUUGAAGAAGGACAACAUUACUACUGAUGAUGGUUUAAUAUGACAAAAUCAGCUGAAAGCUUGAAUUAGUUGAUAAAUAAGCACACUUGUUAAUUAUCAGGUUAAUGAGGCCAGAUCUUAGGAUAGACUUCAGUUCAUGUUUAAUGCAGUUCACCAAGUACCACUGAUCAGAUAAUAUUCUUGGUUAGCUGGUCUACAAAGCGCUACACGGUCGGUUCUGAUCUACCUGUUUUGUCAGGGAAAAACAAGAUCGUGUAGUAUGUCUUGAUACAUAUAGCUGCAAUGAACAAAGAGAAUUAUGGAUGUCACCGAAUUUAUGGUAGAGCCGUUAUAAAUACAUUUAUCAAAUAAGUAGACGCUGCUUGCGCAUUGUACAUAAUUCCAGAGGGGCUAAUGAAAUCAUUCAAAGCAAACAUCAAAGUUGAGAAAUACCACUUGCUUGAAAUACGUAGAGAGAUUGAAGAGGAUCAUGAAAGAAAAAAACAGAAGACAUGGAUGCUAUUAUGCAGAAGGUUACGUAAUAACUAUUAGUUGGAGAUCGAGAUCACUAAAAUGUUUUUAUUAUUCUUUAUUAUUGUAAUUGACACUUUGUGUUGACUAUAUUGAUUUUUGAAUUUAGAUAAGUAUGUUAAAGUAGCCAUUUGACUAUCAAUGAUAUAUGUUUAUUAUUGUUUAGUGUAUU
rnacentral:lncRNA from 1 species